GUGGGAGGAAGAAACAUUAACUUCAACAGCUGUUUCUUGACCCCGGCUGUCAGUCUUCCCAAGAAUAAAUUUUGGAGAGUCCUAUUUGAAACAAAGAGGGAGUUUUGGGGGAGAGAAAAGUUGGUUGGUUCCAGGGCAGCCGCCCAAAGAAGCAGGGAACAAGAUGUUUGCAGUUACCAUGCAGCUUGCAAGCCUCUGCCGGGUGCAGGCAAGGAGCAAAGUAACUUGAAAGCUCCCCUCUCCGCGCCCUGUGCCUGCAGCUUCCCCCCCUAACGCGCGCCCAGAUCCAGCGCCGGUGGUAAGAGCCGAAGCUCGACUACAGUAAUUCCCCAGCUCGGGCGGCUUGAAACUGCUCGGGCUGAAUAGCAUUUGCUGUUCCGUCCUGUGGCAGCCUCCCGCCGCCGCUGCCGCGCUCCCUGCAAAGCAGCUCUCAUUAUCCCGGAAGUUGUGCUGACACAGUCUCGCUGCCACCAGAAGUUUGUCAACAUCAAACUUCUCCUGUGUGGGUUUCACAAGGAUAAUUUCCAGAGUUUACUGUUUCCCCUUCAAAAGUGGGAGCAGUGACCACAAGGAAACAAUUUCUUCAUACAGCGAUGUGAGCUCUGUGCGCAUCUGGCUUUGGUUACUUUGUAAGGUAAAUAUCACUAAAUGUUCAUCAGAAUCUUUGGGGAUGGAAGGCACUGGACUUGUGAGGACAGUCUACUACGAAAUACUGGGAGUGCAGUGCAGAAGAAUGUCAAACAACUGGGUCCCUUCACAGAGGUAAUUGGGUCAACCCUGGUAUUCUUGAAAGUGGAGAUUGAUUUGAAAAAAAAAACAUAAGUAUUUUCAAUUUAAUUUUGGUUACAUUUAGGAUAUUUUAGUCAGUAUGACUAUUAGAAUUUUACCCCAGGAAUUCAAUUAGAACAGAAUCCUUUGGAAAAAAAUAUGUACUUUCUAAUGAAUGUAUACUUUCCUAAUGAAAACGUAGAGUUUCUUUUUACUUUUUGCUAAUUACAUUUUAAAUAAUGAAAUUAUUGUAAUUAUUUUUAUUUAAGGGCAAAAUAAUCUGUAUAGAUAAUAGCCAAACCUAACCAGAGUGCUUUAAAAAUUAAUGAAUAUUAAUGAAGUUGAUGAGUAACACAAUACUGCCCCUGCCUGCUUCAGGAAAACAAAUGUAUCCACUGUGUUCUCCCAAAAUAACCACCUUUGGCUAUCGAUGGUUAAAAUAAAUUUAUCGCUAAAAUCAUUGUACAUGAUGUAAUUUUUGCAAUUCAUGAGACUUGGCCCUGUUUACUAGAUUUAGGUCUCUUUCCAAAAAACCAAAUCUGUCUUAUCUUUUGACAUGCCUGAAUGCCAUUUCUGUUCAUUAAUUUCCCAUCUCAACACGUUUCUCUCUCAGUUUUCUGGGCUCCCCUCCCCCAUUGUUUUAGCAGUCCAAGUACAGCACUCAGGGCUUUCGGGCCUCCGUUUAUAGCUGGUGCACAGAGAGUAGCCCCCUUACUCAGCACUUCCAUUCAUCCUAAUUUGUCUAAACGGAUUGGAAGCUGCCCAUAAAAUUUUCCAAUGACAGUGACAACUGGACGUCAAUCAAAGGACCCCACCCGUUUCAACCUUGCUUGUGUGAAGCUAAUGCUUGUGUAUAUUUUUUCAGUAACAGAGACGAGGCUAUUGUGGUUUUUUUUUUUUUUAAUCUUGUUUCAUUUUUGUUUGUUUAUUUAUUUAUUUUUUUCCCCUAGCUUGCUAAGACAAGUUUCCCAGGCAGAUCACUGGUUAGCAUUAGGCUAGAUUUUUUUUUUUUAUCAGUGAACACCAGAUAGACAAAGGGAAAGAAAUACCACGUGAAUUUAAAUGAUUGAAAAUCCAUUCUUGUAAGAUCAUUUUUGAGACUCUAAAUUCAAAAUCCUACAGUUUUACUUCAAAUGAGUUUGUAAUGAGAAAAGUAGAAUCAUUUUCAGUAAGCUAGCAAAUUUAGGUCAAAAUGAAAGGUGUUGGGAGCAGGGUGGGAUAUGAGGGAGGGAGGGAGGGAGGGAGGGGCUGGAAGGAAGGGAGAGAGAGUCCUGCUUCUGUUUGGGACUUAUUGAAUCCAUAUCUCUGUAUUUUGGACACUGAUUCACCCUGCUCUGUGUGCUGGACUCUACUGUGUGAUUCCUGUUUGUUCUUUCCCAUAAGCAGGUCAGUCCUUAAGUGCUACCUACUAGGUGAAGGUGCUUGUUUGAGACUUGAUGCCAGUUUUAAUCUGUGAUUAUUCCGGUUGCUCUUGAAGUCUAUCCUGUAACAUGCUUUUAUAUGUCCAGGGCUUGCUGCUGCAGUUAAAAAAAACAAAACACCAAAACAAUCAAUCAAACAAACAAACAAACAAAAGCAAAAGAAAACAAACAAACAAAAGCCCCAAACCUGUGUUGAUACUAAAGAGAGCAGCAAACCCUUGAUAAUAAUUAUAGUUUGAUGUCUUAGCACCACAUGGAGUAGCCAUUUCCCCCCUAAAGUUGUCGUGAACUUUCCUUGCCCGAAAGUUUACCGCUUGGACUUCUUUCAUCUGGAACUGUCUGGAAUGAAGCUAGCCUUUGUACUGGGGACGAGCGGCCGUAGUUUCUCUUCCCCUUACCCGGUGGCAGGAUGUUUAAUUUCACUCCUGUGACCUAAAGAAUGUGUACUGACGUUUGGAAAGUGGAAUGUGGGAAGUGUCUCUGGUCAGAGCAAAAGUGGGGAUUGGGCCCAUGAUGCUCCGCAGGACUCUUUGCGCAGGACUUGUCACUGCGAUAACUGUGAGGCACGCUACUCUGUCAGGCGGGUGGGCGGGCGUGCAGAAGUCAGUGCUUUUCAGGGUUUGCACCGUCCCCUCCCUGUGGUCACCCUCAGGUUCAUUGUGGCAAUUAUUUCUGAGCACUGGAUGUGUUUUGGGGUCCUGUAGUACUUUCUUUCCAAAUUUGCUGAAUAUAUGGUAAAAUGAGAUUUCUUUUUUUUUUUUUCCUAAUUGUCUUUUCUGCAAGCUAGACCUGUUUUCUAAAACCCAGACUGGGCAUUCUGCUCUGUUCACAGCUAGAAACAAAGGGUCCCAAAUUAGGGUUCAGAUCUGGCUCUCUUGGUUAUGAUUUUGGGGGAAAGUAAUAUUUUUUCCCAUGUAGAUAUAAGCCAACUGCCUCUUUUAGGAAUAAGAAAAAAAUAGCAUUGUUAAUAGACAAUGCUAACUCAGUUCAAGGUUGCCUCAGGGAAUUAGAUACGGGGAGGCUUAGGCCGAUCUGACUUCAUUUCUGAGGUCUACAGCUUAUGCGAUGGCCACCCUCCUAGGGGCUACAUAGUGUGUUUACUUCCUGUUCGUUUCCUGAGUUCUUCCAACUCCAGUGAGAAUAGAUCUCGAAAGUCUCUGUGCUCAGAGGCCUCGUAAAUCUUCUUCUGGUCCCUGGCUCCCUCUCAUGACCAUGUACUUGUCUCUUCUCUCUGUCAUUAUUAGAGCAUCCACCUGUCCCACCCCAGAGUUUGUCCCCUCAGACCUCCUCUGGAGCUCCAGUACACAGCUGUGGAGUGCCAGAUACCACCCUAGGGACGCAGGAUGACAGGUUUGGUGGCCACUCGCAUGAUCGUUAAGGCCCAGGUUAGCCUUUAUUUCCCUAAUAUCUCAUCUUAGAAAGGUUAUUUUUAUCAGAGGAUCCCAAAGGCGGAGAUUUUCUAGAAUAGGCAUGUAAACUGAGGCCACACCCCAGCUGUGGCUCCUGGAGAAUCCACUACUCAGGGCCCCAAAGCCCUCUCAAACAUUUUAUGAACACUAGAGGGCUCACAAUGAAUCCCCCAGUGCUUUUAAAAGUCCCAGAACCCCAAUUAGCCAGUGCUUGUAACUACAUCAGGCCCACUUCUAUUGGAAGGGCAAGAAGAAGCUUUGGGGUAGGCUAAAAAUGACAAGGAUGGAUGUCUUCCAUCCUACCACUCCAAGGAGAGGACUAUAGGACAAGCAGCUGAAAGGACACACAUCCAGGCCAGACUCUUGACGACUCCUGGGCAGUAGGCCAAGUACUGGGCCAAGCACUGGGCAUGGCUCCAGAGGCUGGGCCCCUGCCCAGGGCACUCACUGGUUCAGAGCCGGCAGAAAAGAGCAGUCUUGGCAGCAGGAAAGUGAGUUGAACAGAUUGGGAAAGAGCAAAACCAGGCAGGCCAGGAUGCUGUGUCACUAGGUCUGAUCGGCCUACCAGCCGUGGGGAUGGAGCCUCAGGUCUCCUACAGCUAUGGGAGGUGGGUGCUGGCAGUAGGGUCCAGUCCAGGGAAUGGAAAGACCAGUGGCCCCAGCCUCAGGGAAGCAGGAGAAGGACAAAGCAUCACUGUGCUGCAGAGAAAACUUUGGUGAGGUACCCUUCUGUGAAGUAGGAUGUCUCAGACUAGCUUAGUGUAUCAGCUCCAUGUACCCCCGAGAGCGAGUGGAUCUAAAGGCCAGGGUUCCCCAGUGUCCCUCUGCUUUAUAAUGUCAAAAAUCUUGGGACACCCAACUGAGAGGCUUCUUUGAGAGAGGAAUGAAAAUCUUUUGAUCCUAUUAGUUCAUUUCUCCUUUUCAGUUCUUACACUAAUUUUAUAAGGGAACAGACAAGGAUAGACACACACGCACAGAUACACACACACACACACACACACACACACACACACACACACAGAUCCACACAUAGACACCCACAUACAGAAUACACAGGCACAUAUACACACACAGAUACACACAGAUGUAUACACAUGAGCACACACCCACAGACACAGAUACACACAUAGACACACACGUACAGAUAUAUACACGCAGGCACACGCAGAGACACACCCACACCCACAUACAGACAUAUACACAUAGACACACACACACACACACACACACACACACACACACACACACACAUACCACCUCCAGGCACAGAAAGGCCUCAGGACAGCAGCAAGAUAACCAAGAAAGGUUGGGGAGUCACCUCCCCCACCCCACGCACUAUAACACAUCCCUGGUAUCGCUAUGAGCCACUGUGUCUCUUCUGUAAGGAUGAAAAGAAGGAAGGCCAUUCUUCCUCACUCCUAAACCUAAAGGAAGAUAAAACAGGCAGUUUCAGAAAUUCUUGGACCUGGAGGAAUGAAUAUAAGCAGCUACCAGACAGUCAUGGUGGCACAAGUCUGUCAAUUCAGAAUUACGAAGCCAAGAUAGGAGAUAAGACCAGUUUGGGUACGUGGUGAGACCCUGUAUUACCAAGCAAGCCAAGUCAGAUCUAAAAUCGGAUCCUGACUGUGGUAGAGAGGACUCCGUUCAGGGGUUUGUUUUAAGAGAUCUCACAAGAGCUUUUUAUAUGUGCUGGAUUUUGAGAGCUACAGACACAUGGUUUAAGAAAAAUAUCUUCUUCCUUUUUCUUAACUCAUGAAGAAAAGAGCCUUCCCUUUCUUCUGCUAUUUUUGGAAGCUUUAUAGUCCCUUUGUGAGAUGUCUUUCUUUCUGUUUACCUUCAGAUAAGAUGGAUUUCAUGUUGGUGUAGCUGGCAGGAGAGGGUUACAGACAUGUCUUAGUUUGUCCACUAACGAAAGAUUACAAAAUUCAACUUUCUAAGUGCUUAAAAUGUGGUAACUCCAUUUUACAGAUAGAAAAAUGGGCCAAGAGAAGUGAGACCUCAUGCCAAGUCAGGCCGAGGGGGGAAAAUUCGAUUUCAAAGCGGGACAUGAUGCCCCAAGCAGUGUGUGCUGAUCAAGUCGCUUAAUCUCUACUUAGUUGGGUGGCAUCAUUGAUCUAAUUCGUAGAUUGUAUUAGGAAGCCAUUCCGUGGUUUCUACAUAGUGUUCUUGCUUGAGACCUCGGUGAACAGGUGAAAUCACAAGUCAGGCUCUAUUGCUGGGUUUGUCUAGCGUUGGAAUGGAUGAUAUUUGAAAAUCAUUUCUAAACACUCGAACCAGCCGAUAAACUAUCUCUAAACGAAUGCACAUGAAAAUCCAAAGACGAUUUCUUAAAAGAAAGGCAAUAACCAGCUGCAAUACUACACGGCCUCUCUAGAGCUUUGAAGCUGGUUUUAAGAAAUUGAUCUGGUUCCACCCUUGCUUUAUGAAGGCCAUAAAGCCUGUCUACUCUUCCUGGCUCAUCUCCCUAGACAGGAUUUCCAACGCACUCUAGCACAGCUUUGCUUCCGCUGUUCCCAAGCUGACAACACACCUUUUGGUUGGGAGUGCUGCAGUUCAGUGCUCAAAGCCACGCUGCCGACGGUGCCUUCUGUGGGAAGCCCCCUCAUCCCACUUCCCCAGGGAAACUUACUCUCCUCUGGGCUCCCACAAAACUCUUACUCUGGGUUCGAGCGCUGCUACAAGACAAGAGGCUGCAAUGGUUUGUCUCAGGAGCACUUCCAGGCCAAACACUGUGAUUUACUUAUCUUUAUGUAUGUCACGAACCAGCAAAGUCUACAGCGUAUUUUAAGUGCUGUAUAACACUUGUUAAAUGAAUGAAAAGGUUAAGUGGUGUGGGCUAUUUAUUUAUUUAAUUUUUUAUUAAAGUGAGGUGGGCUGUUCAAGGGGAUCUCACCGGUUUUCAGUCAGCCAACCUAGAAUUCUUGGUCGGUCACUGUGAUGAAAGACAUGAUCUUGAAGAACUGGACGUGCGUGCUCUUGUGCGCAUAAACUUCCUACUUUCACUGAAGUAGGAUAAACACUGCUGAAGAACAUGAUCUGAUGAAAUUACUCGGUGGGUAAAAGUACUUCCGGUGCAAGCCUGGAGUCCGGGUUUAAUCCUCAGGGAGGAGGGAUAACCAGAAGGUUGUCUUCUGGCUUCCGCAUCGUCCACGUGUGCACCCACUCACACAAAUAAUAUUUUUUCUUUCACAGAACACACCUUGGGAUAGGUUAGGAAAAAAACAACUAAAAUCCCGACAAAGAGCAGUUACCGAAUCGGCGUGGCUGCGAGCAGAGCUCAGUUUGGUUUACUGGCUGAGCUGGGUUCCGGCUGAAAGACUUGAAGAACAACAGCACUCGCUGUUCAUUCAGUGCUUUUCUGUGCUUAGAAACUGUGCUGUCUUUCCCCUCCAUUUCUCCAAAGAUUAGGGAAACCCUGCUCCCCAUAGCCAUCCUAUACUAAUAACACAGAGAAGCAGAGUGAGCAAAAUGAGGGAGGUCCUAGCUGCACUUCUCCUAAGACCAGAACCUUUAUCAUGAAAAAUGACACCCAUAGUUCCACAUGGUCACCUGUGCUCGAAGGAGUGGAAGCGCCGGGCUCUGCAGGCCCUGAACAGUCUUUCCUUCCAGCUUUAUCCAGAACAACGCAUGCUGCAUUUCUCCCCUCUGACCAUAAAGCCAUCUGUGAUUGGCUGCUCCCUACAGACCCUUCUCCGUGCUCUUCUCCCUGCCCACUAGGCUUCCUCUGUCCGUUUAUUAUGUUAACUAAGCUCAGUCUUCCCACAGUAGGAGUAAUUUCCUUAACUUCUCUGGUCUAGUCUUUUCACUCCUUCCCUUCCCCUCUCUCUCCUCAACUCCUUCUCUCUCACCCCAUUGUUUUGUUUUGUUUAUUCUUUGAGUCAGGGUCUCACACUUUGUCUCAGAGUGGUCUUGAACUUGUGACCCUCUGCCUCAGCCUCCCAGAUGCGAGGGUUACCAGCAAGCAUGGACACCCACAGCAAGCACCAGGCACCUUGUCAUCAUCUUAGCUCUUGCAUAAGGAGCAGAGUUUCAGUCCCCAAAACCCAUAUAAAAGUCUGGGCAUGAUGGUGCCUACUUAGAAUCCCGGUGCUGAGGAAGCAGAGAUGGGAGGAUGUCUGUAGCUUAUUGUCCAGUCAGCCUAGCUGAGUUGUAAGUCUCUGGUCCAACUGAGAGUCCUUGUCUUUAAAAAAAAAAAAAGGUUUCUGCAAAACAGUUCCAAAGUUUGAGGGCUCUCCUUGAAGGUUUAUUUAUAUUUAUUAAAUCAUAUUCUCCAAUUUACGUUCUCCUAUUUAUGUAAACUCCGAGAGCAGAGACUUUGCCCAUUUUUUAAAAAGACAUUAUAUAUGAGUACACUGUAGCUGCGCCUUCAGACACACCAGAAGAGGGCAUCAGAUCUCAUUACAGAUGGUUGAGAGCCAUCAUGUAGCUUCUGGGAUUUGAACUCAGGACCUUUGGAAGAGCAGUCAGUGCUCUUAACCACUGAGCCAUCGCUCCUGCCCAUGGCUGAGUUUGCCCAUUUUUGCAACAAUGUAUCUCAAGUUUCUAGCAUAGUGCUGAAAAGGGAGUGUGCCUUGAUAGAAUGAGGUCGGGCACAGAAGCAGGCUUGCAUACACAUAAGACUAAAUCCAAAGUAUGUGUUCGGAAGAAAUUCUUUCCCCAAAUAUACUGAGGUUGGAGAACCAUUAAAUAGACGGCAGCAGGUAUUUUGGUUGUGCAUUCUUUCUUUGACUCUCUCUCUCAUGUGCCAGGUUCCCAGAUCAAUCUUAAGGAUACACUAUGAAUGACACAUUGAGGCUUGCUCUCAGGCUUCCAUUAAGACUUCCCUUUAUGGGGUUGGGGAUUUAGCUCAGUGGUAGAGCGCUUGCUUAGCAACCACAAGGCCCUGGGUUUGGUCCCCAGCUCUGAAAAAAAAAAAAAGACUUCCCUUUAUUAUGUACAAGCCAAUGGUAGCUAUCUCCAUACAAUAAUAAUGUAAACAUAGCGAGUAUAUAGUGGACCAAGCUAUGUUAUACUACAUGUUAUAUAUUCUUUAAUAUUGGUGUCACACACUUACCAGUUCCAUUGAUUUUUCACACGACCACCAACUGAUGGCAUUUUAUCACCUCUAGUUUUAAAGCUGAAGAAAGGAACCCUCGGAGGCAUUAAAUUUCUUAUUAAAGAUUAUUCACUUGGAAUGCAACCAGAGACCUUGGUCUGGAUGACACUGGUGUUAUCUUUUUGGGUAUUAGAGAUAGGCAUGAGAAUUAGGCAGAAAUAAAUCUGAAAUUCUUCCAGUGUCCCAGUCUCCAGCCACAACCUCCCACCUUUCUGGGAAUAAAAAGAAACCGAGGGACUUACACUUUCAGUAUUUUUCCUCACAGGGGGUGGGAGGUGACAUGGUUCCCACUCUCCUGGAUUUUUAUUCCUAUAAGUCUUUAUAUGUGUGGGAGGAUGGUUUGUUUCAAUAACUCUGACAUGUUAGUGUGUCCUUCUAGAUUGGGUUCCGGUGGGAAUAUACUACUUCCUGGCAGAAAUCCACGGCCAGAAUCCCCCUGCUCCACCCUCCAGAAAGUCACGUCUUGUCUUUAGUGGAUUAGGUUUCGAAGUUUCUUCAGGCAGAGAGGUUUCUGUGGCUCAGCCCCCGCGGAGGACCGAGGUGCGUGCGCUGGCAGAGAACUGCGCAGGCUUCCACAGUAUCCUUGAUCCCUGGCAAUAGUGGGGAGGAGGAGUCGUUUUCCUUUUCUGGCCGUCUCAGGUUGGAGUUCCCUGACCACACUUCUGGUAAGCACUCUUCUGCUUGUACUGUUCACGUCUGCUCUCCGUAUGUACUUUUCGGUAGUCCAGACUUUGGCACUCCAGUGAGCAGUUCACUUGCAACAGUUAACUCAGGUUUGUACGAGGCUGUGAUAGAUCCAGCCACGGUGGCCGUACAGCGACAGCAAUGGCUUCUCAAGUAAGGCUUGAACAGAAGUGGAGUUGGAGAGUCAGCAAGAGGUUAGACACAGGGGCAUGAAAGCUUUGUCCGUCCGUCUCUUUAACCAUAUUCCUCAUCCACCCACUGCUUCUAAUUUACCAUCUGACCCGGGAUUCCUCAUCCUGUCAUUCAAACCUCUGCUUCUUUGCACUGCUAUCUUGCAGACUUCCUGUCGUGAUUCAUUCUGUCUUCCACCUUCAACUUCUUCUUUGACUGGUCCUUUACCUCCAGCCUAAACGUUUCUCUUUUUAACUAAACUACUCACAGUGCCAGUUUACACACUUCAUCUCGUAUUUUUUUUUCACCUUCUAUUCUAUUCUCUGUUAACUGCUUUCACUUUCAGUGUUCCUAGGCCACAGUGGAAAGUCUAAGGACAUCUUUAUAGUGAGGCUAGCAGGAUGUCUCCUUUACACUGGACAGUGUCUGUCAUUUAUCUUGUACCAAGGUUCUGGUCCCACUGCUCCACCCCCCACAGAUCUUCCUAGGUACUCUCUCUCUCUGCCUCUUAUAAUGUUCCUGCCCUUCCUUAUAAUGUUCUACCCCAUCCUGGGGUGAUCAACUACUCCAUGGUUUUAACUUUUAACUAUAUAUUGAUGAUACUCAGAACUCUAUACAGCCAAUACAGUUCUCUACCUAGAACUUCAAAUAUUUGCUAAAUAUUAUACAUUGGUGUUCCAAGGAUGCUUCAAAUUCAACAUAAUGAAGACAACUGAUUGUCAUACUCUCAAGUCUGUUUUCAGAAUCAGUUUGUAAUACACAGAUGCCUAGCCAUGCACACAAUAUUGUGAGAAUCACCUUUGUCCUCUGACUACCCAUUUAACCACACUGCUGAUGGUCCAAAAUAUUUAGGUACUUGACUGCCUUCCUUGUAGCAGCCACUAAUGGCUACCUGCCCACGAAACUGCCCCCCCCCCGCCUUGACUGGGAAAUAAAACAAAACAAACAAAAUAGAAUAGAAUAGAACCUUCCCCCCAUUUUGUUCUGGCAUCCACACGAUUCUCAAAUGUUACAUGCUUGAGGAAAACCUGGCGUCAGUCUCAGCUCCAGCUUCCAUGGAGAAGUCUUGGUCUACCUUUAUCGAGCCAAUUAUUGAUGAUUCCUAUUAAAGAACAACUCAGAAAUGUUUCAUUAGCUCUUUGCAGAAAAGUGUUGGUGACAAAUGAGAGCAAACUCAUAGGUUAUGAAGGAGGCUGGGAGAAGGAAAGAGUCCUGGUGGCAUUCUGGGCAGAUUAAGUCUUGUUUCAUAUUCCUCAUAAACUGAUUAGCCAGCAGCUGCUGUUUUCACUCUUCUGUCACUUUUGCCAAGUCUGUUGCUUUUUCUACCUUCUACUAAUUUAACUAGUCUAGGAAGACUUCCUAGACCAUCCCUGAACACACACACACACACACACACACACACACACACACACACACACACACACACUAUGCCAGAUCGUCCAUGACUCUAAUUAAUUACUCUAAUAUUCUAGAUAUUCUAAGGAGAGGAGGAGCCUCUUGUUGAGGAAGUGGACAUGUGCUACAUGCUAACACAACCUACAUCAGUAGAGAAGAGCACAGUGUGACAUAAUGUCUGGGAGGCACCAAUGCAAAAAGGUUCGGGAACUUCCAUGUUCUGCAACUGUAGAGGCUGGAUGUUUUCUUUCCAACACUUCAACUCUAACACAUGUGGUUACUGAUUUUACAGUCUAAAAUAACCAGAGAAACACUCCCUUAUGACACACCCAACUAAAUCUGCCACCAAUUUAGCAUUUAAGUACCAUGCUUAUAAAAUUCCUAACAGCCUUGCUAUUGAUGCACACCAAGGGCCAGUGAUACUUUACAGAAAGAGUAUAAAGGUCUCAUUUGAUUCAUCUCCCACUGAAUACUUCAUAUGAAAACUGAGCUUCCACAGUGCUUUCAACAAUUCCUCUAGCCUCUUAGUUUGAAAAUUUUCAAGUAUAAAGAAUACUUAUACCCUUUGCCCAGAAUUACCAAUUAUUAACAUUUUUAUAUGUCUCACAACAUGUAAAAACACAACAUGUAAAUAUAUAUAUAAAUAUAUAUUAUAUUAUAUUAUAUUAUUAUUUAUUAUAAAUUUAUAUAUUUACAUGUUAUAUAUAUUUUGGUGAAUAGUCUACAGUCAAUUGCUGAUGUCAUGGUUUGAUUAUCUCAUCCUUUACCAUAUAUCUCCUAAUAGCAAGACUUCUUUUCUACGUAGUCACUGGUAUGUCUGGACAUGUAACACCAAUACAACAGUUUACCUAACACAUAAGUUACACUCAAAUUUCUUUUCUGAAUAAAAUAACUGUUCUGAUUCUGAUCUUUUAACUUUUCCCCAUUAGCUUCAUGUUGGUAAGAAUUGUUCAUUCUAUUUAGCUGCUGUUGGUUUUCUUUAUUUGUGUAUAAUGACGCCUCUACAACUGUCACAACAUUAAUACUUGUAAAGAAUUAAACUUCAUUCUGUAGAUCGCUCUACAUUCUUUAUCUCAGUGCUGGAUUCAGGUCAAAUGGUUUUGGUAAGAAUUUCAUGUUUAAAACAAAUCCUUUUUUUCUACAGACAUUGUGCCUUUAAUCCCAGAAUUUGGGAGGCAAAGACAGGUAGGUGGAGCUGUAUAAACCAAAGGCCAGCCUAGUUUACAUAGAGAGUUCUAAGCCAGGCCAACCUACAUAGUGAGAUACUGUCUAAAAAAACAAAAAAAGCAAUUUCCUUCUUAGUACAUUUUUGAGGAGACAUGGUGAAGGGUCAUCUUGUCAUCUCUACCAGAUUAGAUACUAGACAUACUCCUGGGCAUGCCUGUGAUGACAGCUAUCCCAGAGCAGUUAACCGAUGAGGGAAGAGCCACCUUAACUGCAGGUGGUACCAUCCCAUGGGCCUGAGGUCCCAGGCUGAAUAAAAAGGGGGAAAGGAAAAAGGAAGCUGGGCAUCACUCAUUCGGCACACCGGCUGGCUGCCUCACACUCCUGAUGCUGUGCCUGUAGCCACACCCACAGUUAAACCUACCCUGCCAGGAUACACUGUACUCGUGGUGAACCUUCCUUAAGUUGAUUAUUAUAUUUGGUCACAGCACUGACAAAUUAACUAGUGCAGUUAUAAUCGGUGCUGUAGUUUGGAUCUCCCCUUCACCUCCCCCAUUUAGUUAUAUUUAGCAACUGAAUUAUUUAUUGUAGUAGCUUCCCAAAAGUAAGACCACCAUCUUCAUGUACUGAACACUUGGGAAUAAAAGAGACGAUUACACUUGGCAGUUACAUUUUUUAAAAAGUUCAAAAUUAUUUGUUAAAUUUUAUUAAAAACAUUCUUAACAUGUUGGGAAAAAUAAUUUUCUGUAAGAUUGUCUCAAAUCCAUAAUAGUCUUUGUUUAUGCAGAUCUGACAAGCUUACUGAUGUCUAAUAUCUCAAACUUGUAGAUUGACAGUUAAAAGUAGCAUCAUGUAAUAUAAGGAAGAGAUUAAUCCAGAGUCCAGAAUCCUUGUUUGUCCCAGGACCUUAAGAAAAUUGUAUGUCCUUCCUGGAUUUGCCUCUUAUACAUAAUAUAGAAUGAGAACUUUGGAAUCUUUAGAAUUCUGUAUUUUAGACUGGAUUUUUAAUUCAUUGGUUUUGUUGUUUUGUUUUGUUGUUUUGUGCUAGUGGUGUUAGGGAUUGACUCUAGACCUCACCCAUGAUAGGUAAAUGCUUUAUCACUGAGUCGCCUUCCUAAACCCAAAUCCCAUCAUUUAAAAGGUUCAUUUUGUCUACAGUUAAUUGCUAAACAUUUUUUAGAGUCAUUCUUACUCAUCAUUUUAAGUAUUUAUGCCGUGUGCAAGAUCAAAUUAGCUAUGCUAUUUUUUUACCUCAAGAAAUAAUAGAAAAGUAAAUAGACCCUGUGGAAACCAUUCCACCAGCUUUCACAUGAAGCAGAACCUCAACUGAUCAGUGGCCAUCCUGCCUGGACUUGAGUACUUGAGGUGACACCACUGGAUGUCCUGGAGAAUAUGAUCAAGUUAUAAUUUUUCUGGAGUUUUGCCUGACUAGUUUUGGUUGUCCAUGACAAUCUGUGACGUCCUCCACCUCAGCUCCCCUUACCAUUCUCUAACAGUGUGGCACUGUACUUGAGUGUGUCUGCACACACAGUCCGGCUCUUUUCUACCCAGCUCCUCUCUCAUUGUUUGUGACCUGCACCGUGAUGAAAAGGAAAUCCCUUGGCACUUGGCUCUCACUAUCUGGUCAUCAUCUCCCCGUGAGUGUGGCUGUUGUCUGCUCAGCUUGGACAGUCACAUCAGCACUCCUAAUUACACCAGGUAUACUCAGCCAUUUAUUUAUAUGCCAAACACCAAGUGAAAAGUUGCAUGACGUAAAACAGUUGUGCAGGGAAACAAAAUAUUAAUUCAGAAUGGUCUAAGGUGAGGGUAACUUUAGAAUAAAAAUGUUUAUUUUCUUAUGUUGUAUCUUGACCAAGCAAAUGCCACUGACUACAUCAUAUGCUAGUCAUAUAGAAGAAUAGCAAUAUUUUCAGAGGGAAAAAAAGACGUUUGCCAACUUGUUCAUAUGUAACCGACAAUGCUGUCUAUGUAACUAUUGUUGACUGUAGACACAGGGAGUAGCAAAUAUUGGUUCUAGUGUGUGGGUAAUGCACACAGUUUAAGUUGAAGGCAGACCUUAACAAUCGUAGACAAAGACGUGACUAUGAAGAUAUGGAUGGUUGUAAAUAUGAGCACUUAUAUUUAGAAAUCAGAAUUAAAUACUAUUAUCAGGCCUUUAAAAAUUAUUUAUGUUAUGAGGCCUCAAAAGGACAAAAUCAUUUCUCCAGAGACGCAGCUCUCUGGGGAUAGAGCCAGAGGGAAUGACUGCUUUCAAGGUUAAGGUAACUUCUCAAGGUUUCCAAGCUGUCAUUCAGGCAUCUUCGGGCCUCGGGUGGUGUAGGGCCUGCCUAACAGGAUGACUGCUUACUUCCCUCAGCUAGAAACAGACUGUCUUCGGGUAUGUUACAGACUGUGGCUCCACAUAAGGAUAUAAAUUAGAGAAAAGGGUUCCAGUAUUAAAAUGCUCAUGUGUAUUUAAAUAUUUGUAUCCAUGUCUGAUCUGUUUAGUCAUGGAUUUUUUCCCCUAUAGCAAUUAGUCAAUAAUAGUAAAAGGUUGAAAAUUAUUUGACUUUCAUAUAUUUUUACUUAAAUGCUUCAUAAAGGUUUCCCACAGAUAAAGAUACCCAUGAGAAAACUGGAUAAAACCCUGUCUUGCUAGCUUCACAAUCUUCCCUUGGCUAGGCCCCCACAUUAUUUAGUUAUUUCAGAUGAAGAGAAAUAAGAUAUGGUAGAGGCCAGGGGAAGAAGUAAAAAUCCAAGCAAGUUUAGGUUUCAGUAAACUUACCCAGCCCUCACCUCGUGGGAGGAGUGCUGUUGACUGGAAGCUUGGGAUCACAUUGUAGGAACGCUCAUCUCCGCAGCUCUGUUCCUUUUCCAAUGUUUCUUCACAGAAAUGAAACUGUGGUGGAGAGCAGAUUCAUAAAGCACAUUUGCCACACCUCAAUUCAUAUCAGACUCCCAUUCCUGACGUUAAUGACAGUUACCCAGUUUGUUGCUUAAGGUUCCUGAAUAGCCUGAAUUUUGGUUUCCUGGGCUUUCUGGCUUUUUAGUUAGCGAGUGAUUGUGAAGUUCACUCAGCGCCUUAAAUUACACCUGGUCGUUUGUCUUCUCUUGAUUCUAAAAGGGGGCUUUAUCAACCAAAUAGAUUCUAGUAGAAUAUUGAAAAUAAAAUCUGAGGCUUGGUGGUUGUGGCUCACACCUUUAAUCCCAGCACCUGGGAGGCAAAGAUAGGUGGACCUCUGUUGCUGUAAAAUUAAAUUUUGCCCCGCACUAGAUCCAGCACCAUAGUGCCCCAAGAUAUCUUCAUCUCAGUCAGCAAAGCUUCUCACCAGCUCUGCUCCAUUCCAUAUCAAACUGCUGAUGGCCUCUCUCUGAGCCUGGCAACAAUCUCUCUACCCGUCUAGUUCCCAAGGCAGGCUGCCAUGAUGCCAGACAUACACAUGUCGCCAGCCACCACAGACUCUCUUGAACUUAAAUCGCCACAUGAAAGAACACACAACACAAUAACCUCUGAUCCAAUGAUGAGAUAUAAUUUGCUCAUCUAGACACACAAAGCCCUGUACACACCCAUCUCUUAAGAAUAUUCAUAACAACUUGUAAAUGUGCAUAGAGGAAUCUUAACUUCCACCACCAUGUUCUCUCUGCUGCUUCUCUCUUCUCCCUUUGUCUCCUGUCUCCUCCCCCUCUCUAAAAUUUUUCUCCCGCCCAUCCUUUCUUCUCGUCCAAUGACAGGCCUCGUUCUAUCCUAUACCUGCCUUCACCUGUGUAAUAACAACAUCCUACAGACCUCUGUGAGUUUGAGCCUAUCCUGGUAUACAGAGUGAGCUCCAGGAUAGCCAGGACUACACAGAGAAACCCUGUCUUUAAAAAACAACCAUCAGGGACUGGAGAGAUGGCUCAGUGGUUAGCGGUGGUUACUGCUCUUCCAGAGGUCCUGAGUUCAAUUCCCAGCAACCACAUGGUGGCUCACAACCAUCUGUAAUGGAAUCUGCUUCCCUCUUCUGGUGUGCCUGAAGACAUAUACUUGUCUACAUAAAAUAAAAUAAUUCUUAAAAAAAAAAAACACCAAUAAACAAAUAAAAUCUGUGGAUGGAUGUCUUAGGCUGAGUUCUCCAUUGAUAAACCUGUUUUCAUAAUCAAAAUCCACAAAUGUUUUAGUUACGAACUCUUUCCUUUAUUAGAGUAAUUAAAUUCAUUAAAAUGAAAAUGAAUUUAAAAACACAGGUGUUAGGAACAUGACUUAAAAACCACUUUUUGCAAUUUAAAGGCCAUUUUGUGUGACUGACAUGAAAUACUGUGUUGUCUGAGCUUGCCAUUGGGCAACUCUGUAAGAGCAAGGCCUUGGAAGCAAGCCCCUGGCAGGUCACUGGGCAGCUCAGGAGUGUUUAGUUCAGGAUAGGCCUUGAUAUGUUAGUGAGCUACCCAGACAUGGUGCUAAUGUACUGGUGAACCAGCCCCAAACUGUGAGCCCUGUGAGUACAAAGCUACCGACCGGCUAAUGAAAUGAUACAAAAGUUGUAACUUUGGAUCUCUGAGAUCGCAUUGCUAGCCCUCCCCCAACUCUGCUUCUUUAUCCUCUGUUACGCAUCAGCAAGAGGACUUGAGACUAUGUGCAGGGACCCUGGCUUCAGUGACCACAGAACUGUCGCUGAGUCUACACUAGCCCUUGGCCUAGGCUCUCUCAGACUUCCUAGUACUAUCUUCCUGCUUGCUACAGCUGAAAAGAAGUCACAGCGGACUUGGGUCGAACCUGCAAGCUUCUGAAGCGUCCUUGAUGGAGAUUCCCCAGUGGAACCUCAUUAUACAGGUGAAGGCAGGUACAAGAUGGAACGAGGCCUGCCAUUGGACGAGAAGAAAGGAUGGGCACAAGAAAAGUCUGAGAGAGGGGGAGGAGACGGGAGCGAAAGGGAGAAGAGAGAAGCUGCAGAGGGAACAUGGAGGUGGUUGUUAAGAUUCCUCUCUGCACCUGUACAAGUUGUUAUGAACAUUCUUAAGUGGUGGAUGUGAACAGGACUUUGUGUGUCUAGAUGAGCAUUUUCUGCCCAAACAACCGUUCCCUGCUUGGUGAAACGUUUGUUGAGCUUCUAUUUUAGCACACAACGUCAUAGAGAAUGUUUGUUUGAAGAAACGGAGCAUAUUCGAAAGACAAAUCUUGUAUGGGCGUCCUAAUUGCUGAGCAUCUUACCGUCCAUAGCCCUGCUCUCUGCACAGGGAAGAAGAAUUUCCAUCUUAAAAAUUUUAUUAACAUUCAUACAGAAAAUUAGGAUUCUCGGGGUCAUAACUUUACCGUUCUGGCCGUGUGACAGGUGUCCAGCUGUCCUUGGUGCACGAGUUUUCCUUUACUGCCUGUGGGGAUGUGGAUGGACGGUAAGCUCCAAGGACGUGCAGUAAACACUGGCAGGAGUGUUUCUCAGCCAACCCAGCACGAGGAGAAAAGUGCUGGGAAAAGAGACAAUUCCUUUUGAAAGAUGGAUAAGCUACACUUAGAAAUUUCCAUUACUGAUGAAAAAAACUAAUUGCUUUUCUCUCUCCUAAAAACCAAAAUUCCUUCAGCUCUUGAAGGAGAAAAUUCUUCAUGUAGUCUACUUAGAGUGUUUUUUCCUCGAAACUAUAGAGAACCCUGGACACCCAAAGCAACCUUCUGAGAAGAUACACUGCUGAUGUGUUGAAGAGAAAAGUCAGGCCGGAGAGAUGACUUUACUAAGCUUGCUGUGCAAACCUGAGGCCCUGGAGAUAUUUAUUAUGACAUAUUAAAAACACAUUGUGGGAUGUUUGGACUGAAGAUUAAAAGCAAGAAACUCAGAUCCCUCCAAGUGACUGCUCUUCAUGACAAGCUAUUAUGGAAAAAAUAUAGGCUUUGAUAUAAAUCCAAGAUUUUAGAGUUAUUAAUUGAAUUAUAGGAGGAAGACAUUUAGUUUUCCCCGGUCUCCAUGUCCUUAUCUGUAAGCCAAAGCUAAAAGUAACACACACCUUGUGAUAUUGGGAGAAUCAAUUUAACUCAUACACGAAAGCACUUUGUAAAAUUUGAAGUCAAAUAAAAAAUUAUCGUUAGAAAAAAAUACACAGCACUGUCCAUUCAUCAACGUGGAAACAAUACACUGCUGAGUCCAUGGUACCAACCUUUCAGAUGCAAAGUACUUGCCAGACUCACUCACUAAAAAUGACCGUUAUAACAUGUUCAAGGUUAAUGUUGACAUAGAACUAGUUUACUCUUUCAGGUAUUAUUAGAAUUUAUGGGAGGAAAAUUCUGUUUCUUUUCCUAAAGAGGCUAAUACCCAUUUAAAAUGAUUAUCAAACUAAAUAAAAAGGCGAACAAGGCAGGCUGAAGGGAAAUCCUAUCUACUGCAGAAUGAUGAUAAUAAAAACUCAGGUCAGUGAUCAUAUUGAUUAAGACGUGGCAAACAUCAGAAGAUCUAGAAACGCCGGAUUAAAAUGGUCUUUGUUUUUCACUGAAUAACAGUGUAGUGGUGGGCAGUUGAAGGCUGGUUGAGGGACUCAACCAUGUCAGCACUUAGUCAGCAAUUUAGAUGCUCUCAGCACUUAGUCAGCAUUUUGGAUGCUCUCUUCGUCCUCCCAUUUUCCAUCACCCUUGUCAUCUCAUGGGCACCGACCACAAAGUGGUCUGAGCUGCAAGCACUAACAUCAAUACGACAGACAGACAAGGAACACCUUCAGAAAGUCUCCUGAAAUAUCUAACCUUUGUCAGAAAGCGAAAUAGUAUCCAGGGCGACCCUGACAAUUCACUUAUUCUGAUUGGUCAAAGCCAGGUCAAAUAUGCUCAGCCAACUGCAAGGAAAUUGGGGGAAAUAAAUUCAGUGCAAGGGGAUAUAGUUAUACUAAAGGUCCUACGACUCGCGAGGAUUCGUUUUCUGGGCCCAAGCAUACAAUGAUUUAAGAAAACCAGCUUCAGUCCUCAGGAUAAAGGAGAACGGAGAAAAUCUGCUAUAUACCUGGCUAAUGGGUAUCUAAGAUUCCUUGUAUGUGUACAAAUAUAAUAACUUAUACUCUGCACACAGGAAACAUCGUUUUGCCCCAGAGAAGAGAAGUUUUAAACAGUAUAUGUAAAUUUCAGAGACAGGACAACAAAUAAAACACACAAGAUAGUGAAAUGCUUCUGACCAAAAGCCAGUUCCCCUUCUCCCUCUGAAGCAUGGCUAAUGGACUACACAACCGGGGUUGCUUUUUGUUUUGUGAAAUAUGGGUCAUUUGAAAUGGCCGUCUUAACAUUUUACCCAACAAUUUUUAUCCAUUCAGGUCUAUGAUUACUUACAAGACACACAGCUCCUAUCAACCGUAAGCCUUUUCUCUUUAGCCAUUUUAAAAUCUACUUCCUGCCCUGGCUCAGGCUUUGCUAAUCCAAGUACCAAUAAGUAAGAGGUAACUGCUCUCUGCCAGCAUAGGAGGGUGUGGCUUGUCCUCUAGUCAGGGUAUACCUCUCCAGAAGUGGAGUUUACAUCAUUUCCUGAUUUUUUUCUAAAAGCUAGCCGUGGCCUGUGUUAGCGUGCUUUUUAAUAAAUGCCAUCCCUUUAACCCUGCUCGAUCUAACUAGAGACACACCACUUCCUGAAGAAACCCUCGUCUCAGUGGGAAUGCAAGUCGAGGAACAGCCUAGGAAGGACAUAGCAGUGCACGCUAAUUCACAUUCUGGAUUCCUAGUACAUUUUAAAAAAGUGACCAGUCCUAGGACUUACCUCUGCUGGCACAUAAAAUGAAAACAUAUAAAGGGACUCUUCUCUCUCACAGUUGAGAUACGUGACUUCGGUAGGAUCUGUCACCUAAGAUACCCGAUGAACUGAGUCCCCUGGCAGAACAAGCUAGCAUGCAGCCAACAGAGCAAAUGCAUGCAAUUACGGCUUCUUCCCUGUCCUUUCCUUCAGCACAUGCCACCUUCCAGUCUGAUUUCAGAUAUUAGUAACUAAUGGAAUAAUACACAGGAAAUGAAUACCCCCUCCUCUGCCCUGUAAAUCAGAAAAGUCAUUUCGAGGAGCUGACUGAGUGGAGGGAGAGGCAUGUGGCAGGGGAAUUGAACUUUAAUGGCCACUCAAGAGCAAUAAUCCUCCAUCUCCCGGCGAUCUAGCCUCUGUGUGUGUGUGUGUGUGUGUGUGUGUGUGUGUGUGUAUGUGCACGUGAGUGCAUGUGUGUUGCAUGUAUGCAUGUGUGUGCGAGUGUAUGUGUGUACUCGAGCACGUAUGCAUGUAUGUGCAUGCAUGCAUACAUAUGUAUGUGCAUGUGUGUUUGUGUGCUUGUCCAUGUGUGUGUGUGCGUGUAUGUGCAUGAAUGUGCACCUAUGUGUGUACAUAUGUAUGCAUGCUGCAUGAGUGUGUGUGCACAUGUAUGUGUGCAUGAGUGUGUGUGUUUGUGUGUGUGUGUGUGAGUGUGUGUAUGUGCGCAUUUGUUUUGAGUUAUGUAUGCCCUGUAGCUCAGCAUGGCCUGAGCUCACUGUGUAAGGAUUCAGGCUGACCUCAGACUCACAACAGUCCUCUUGUCUCAGCCUCCUGGCUGCUGAUAUUAGAAGCAUGAGCCACCACGCCUUGCUUUCCCGCUCUCUCUCUCUAAGUGUCUCAGGCCUGGCAAACUGUUGCCUGAUGGGAACCUAUGGACUGAGAGGUUGUCUGUGUGUUUUAAAUGCCAAAUGCAGGUUCUCCUUAAGAACUUAGUCUUAGGGGUUGGGGAUUUAGCUCAGUGGUAGAGCGCUUGCCUAGGAAGCGCAAGGCCCUGGGUUCGGUCCCUAGCUCCGGAAAAAAGAACCAAAAAAAAAAAAAAAAAAAAAAAAAAAAGAACGUAGUCUUACUGUUAGAAGACUGGUUCUUUUCAGUCAUUUAGACAGUCACUUGUUUUUGGUAUUUAAAAAAAAUCAAGUAGGUAUCCUAGAAUAGUUAAUUAUAUGAUUUAAUCCUAUAGUAUUCAUGAAAGAAGUCAGAAUUGUGGACAAUUUGAUAUUAAUAAAUAAAGUCAUCAAGACUAUUGAAUGUCUUUUUGCAGAUAUCCAAUUAUGAUAGAGAGCCAAUACCUUACACAAGUACUAGAGCAGGACCUUGAGUGCCAUAGACACCUGCUUUGCUCCUCUCUGUUGACAAUUUCCCUCCGACCAGGUAGGAGUGAAUUCUAUUUUGUCAGAAUACCAGAGAGCAAACUCAGGCUGUGCACUGGAAUCACCCCGGAAAGCUAAAAAUGUGACGAUGCUUUAGUUUCUCCUGCUAGAUUGUCAGCUGGUAAACCCUGGCCACCAAGAUGCCCUUUAGACAGCCCAUGUGGUUUCCACACCAAUUUUAACGGAAUAACUAUUGGUCUGGCUUAACAUUUUUCAGUCUUUACUGACAAGAAGCCACAGAACAUAUAAUUUUCUGAGGCAUUAUUGUUUUGCUUUAAUACUUUUGGGGAGCUUCUGUUGGACCAAAAUGAGUAGUCCGUCUUUACUAAUUGCAGUAGUCACAGACCACAAAGAACAUCGGUCAUCUAAUCUAUUGAACAUAUACAAUGUAACACUUACAUUUGUAAAAUAUACAUACUUAGAAAGAAUUGGCUCUAUGAUUAUGAAGCCUUAGGGGGUCACAAAGUUUGUAAAAAGGGGGAGAGCCAGGAAGACUGGUGGUGUGGUCCUGGGUUUGAAAGCCAGGGUUCUAUCAAGGACUCAUCAGCUUAGAAGCCAGUGUUCCUUCUUCCUUAUAGGAAGGCCAGCUCUUUGUCCUAUUCAAGCUUCAGUUGAUCAGAUAUAUUAACAUUAAAAGAAACAAUCCAUCUUACUGAACUACUGAUUUCAAAUGACAAUAUCGCCUAAAACCACCCUCACAAAUACACCUAAAACCAUGUUGGUCAAAAUGUGGGAGCAUCUUCAUGCCAAGUCCAGUUGACACCUAAAAUUAACCAUCACACCAAUGUAAUACUCAAAUAAAUACCAUGGUUUUGGUGGAUAAUUAAAAGCCAGAGGUCAGUGAAGACAGACUAGAAGCCGAUUCCAUGGAAUAUGGUAAAAAGUCUGGAUUAAAAAAGAUAGACCACAGGCAUGGUGAUACAAUCACCAUGUGUCUGUCAUGCUAACACUUGGAGGGAAAGGCUGGAGGACAGGGAGUUCAAGACCAUCCUUGGCUACAAAGCAAAUUCAAAACCAGUUUGAACUACCUGAGAUUCUGUAUGAAGAGGAGAGGAGGAAGGAGUGGGGUAGGUAAUGAUGAUGGGGUUGGGGGAAAGGAGCAAGAGGAUUGAGAGAAGAGUGAGCAGAAGAGGAGGAGAGGAGAAGGGGGAAGAAGAAAGGGUAAGAAAGAAAAGAAAGAGAGAAAUAAAGAGAAAGGAAGAAAAGAUACUUUAAAAUACUGAAGAAAGAAAUGAAAGAAAAAAGAGCAGAAGAUGGGCAAAACCUCUCAUGCUUUUAGAUUGGUAGAAUUCAUAUUGUGAAGAUGCUGUAUUAAGAGAACUCUAGAGACUGACAAUCCAUGUCAAAAUCCCAAUCUUUUUUUCAUUUUUUGCAGAAUUGCAAAAAUUAAUCCUGGGGACUAGAGAGGUGACUCAGCCCUUAGGACCCUGACUGUUCUUUCUGAGGAUCCAAAUUUGGUUCUCAGCACUCAGGCUGGUCAUUUCACAACUAUCUGUAACUCAAGCUUCAGGGCUUUCUGAGACUUCUGUAUUCUGUGAGCAUCUGCACACAUGCAUAUUCAGACUUAAAUCAGUGUGUAUUUUGUUUUCAAAUGAUUCAUAAUAAAUUCCAGGGCCCAUGUGGAAACACAACAGACCCCCAAGUAACCAAAGCAAUCCUGGCAGUAUUACAACACCUGAUCUCAAACUAUACUACAAAGUUAUAGUAACAAAACAGCGUGGCAGUGACACAAAAACUGACAUGUAGACUAUGAUGACUAUUCCUGGUUCUCAACUUGACAACAUCUGGAAUGAAUGACAAUCUAGAAAUGGAGGGUCUGGAAGAUACAGACUUCUGGCCAUAAUUUUGACGGGAUGACACAUACUUUUGAUCCAGAUCUUGAGGCACAGUGGCCAUGAAAACCUUAAACCCAGGCAAGAUAGUGCAUUCUUUUAAUUCAAGGAGACAGAGGCAAGCAGAUCUCUGAGUUUAAGGCCAGCCUGGGACAGAGCAAGUUCCAAAUCCAGGUGUGGUGGUAUGCACCUUAAAUCUGGGCCACACAUUCUGCUGGAGGCUUGCAUAAGGAUGAAUGAAGAAGGCAGACUCACUGUUCUGCUUGCACUUACUUGCCAGCACAUCUGUUGGAACCCACUUCUUCAGAAUUCCAGCUUAUACAGAAGACCAGCUGAAACAACUAGCCUUGUGGAACUGAGCAACUACUAGAUUCUUGGGUUUCCUAUUCAUAGCUGCCUGUGAUGGUUUGUAUAUGUUGGCCCAGGGAGUGGCACUAUUAGGAGGUGUGGCCCUGUUGGGCGUAGGUGUGUCACUGUGGGUGUGGGCUUUAAGACCCUCAUCCUAGCUGCCCUGAAAUCAGUAUUCUGCUAGCCUUCAGAUGAAGAUGUAGAACUCUCAGCUCCUCCUGCACCAUGCCUGCCUGGGCACUGCCGUGUUCUCACCUUGAUGAUUGAUAAUGGACGGAACUUCUGAACCUGUAAGUCAGCCCCAGUUAAGUACCGUCCUUAUAAGAAUUGCCUUGGCCCUUUCUUGUGCUGUUCAUAUCUUCUUAGAGACCUUAGGGGUGUCAUUGCUGAGAUUUGGGAGUCUCUGUCAUUUUCAGCAUCUUAAGUUUAAGAUUUAUUUUGCUUUUUUUUAAUUGGCUAUUUUAUGUAUUUACAUUUCAAAUGUUAUCCCCUUUCCUGAUUCUGCCCUCUCUCGUUCCCCUCUCCCCCUGCUUCUAUGAGGAUGCUACCCCUUCCCACCUACUCAUUCCCACCUCAACACCCUGGCAUUCCCCUGCAUUGGGGAAAAGAACCUUCACAGGACCAAGGACUUCUCCUCCUAUUGAUGGCAGACAGUGCCAUUCUCUGCUACAUAUGUGGUCAUGGGUCCUUCCAUGUGUACUCUUUGGUUGGUGAUUUAGUCUCUGGGAGCUCUGGGGUGUCUGGUUGGUUGAUAUUGUUGUUGUUAUUAUGGGAUUGCAAACCCCUUCAGCUCCUUCAGUCCUUUCUCUAACUUCUCCAUUGGGGUCCCCGUGCUCAGCCCAAUGGUUAGCUGCAAGCAUCCUCAUCUGUAACAAUAAGGCUCUAGCAGAGCAUCUCAGGAGGCAUCCAUAUCUGACUCCUGUCAGCAAGGACUUCUUGCCAUCAGCAAAAGUAACUGGGUUUGGUGGCUGCAUAUGGGAUGGAUCCCCAGAUGGGGCAGUAUCUAGAUGGUCUUUCCUUCAGUCCCUUUGUCCCUGUAUUUCCUCCUGUGAGUGUUUUGUUUCCCCUUCUAAGAAGUACUGAAGCAUCUACGCUUUGGUUGUCCUUCUUCUUGAGCUUCAUAUGGUCUAUGAAUUGUAUCUUGGAUUGGGGUACAAUAACCACUGAGAAAGACUGCUCCAUUGCCUUGCCUACUGGUGAGGCCAGGCCUAAACUAUGGACAAACAGGGACACCAGACACUCCUAACUAGCGUUGCUUAAGACAAAGCAGGUCAGUCUCCUAAGUUCCUCCUCUACAGGAAGGCCUCUCAAACUUGCAGAUUGAUCCUCCCCUGGGACCUGUGUCCCUAACAAAGAUAUCAACAUCACAGGAACCUAGUGGGGCAACUGUCUGGGUAAUGGGUAAGUCUAUCAUUUUAAUUGACACAUAGGACAUUUAGAUAUAUCCUUCCUGGGUCUCUGUGGGGAGGGUUAACCUAGAUAAAGCCACCUGUGUCUCAUGCUAAAUAAUUUGAUAGGAAAAGUUUAUGUAAGUUCUGAGGACAUGAAAACUUUUAAGAAAGUGUUUGAAGAUCUAGGGAGGUGUUUUGGGGUUGGUAAAUACAAGGUAUGAAAGAUUUGUCUUUUUGUGAAUUUAAAAAGAUCCUUCUAAGCUUCAGGGAAUCUACUUGACUCUGCCUCUUACAAGUCAAAGGGACUCAAGAUAAGUACUGUCAAUUAACAGCCUGCCCCCCCCACUCUGACCUCACCUACCUAUUCCUAAGGGUGGUAUCUAUUUCUCUUACUCUGGUCCUGGGACCCUCCACCCCUUCUCAAUUCCCAAGAGUGUGAGCCUAAAUUUCAAAUGUACACCAAAACCCUUUUUCUCCCUAAAUUCCUAUCCUCUGUCCCUAACAUCCAGGUGUUUUCUCAGUACUUGCAACCAGAAAAUCUCCAACACAGUUACCAACAGGUGCUGUGGCCCAGUCUCACCCACUUCUUCAACUAGUCCUGCACACUCUUACCUCAAAAUGGUCCCACAGGCUGGACAGCAGUGAAACAAGCAGCUCUUCCUGGACUUGGCCAACAUUCCAGCUUUUUGCUCACACUCCAAAACUGCACCCCAAUGUCAGCAGAAUGUGUUAUGGUCUAUUAUGGGGUCACUUAGUCAUUUAUAAUCAACAAAAGGCUAGGAUGUUUGGUUUCAGACCCUGGGACUGAGGUGCAUAUUUUAUGCAUCAAAGCAGACCUCUUGUAAGCCAGCCCCAAUUAAAUGUUGUCUUUCUUAGAGUUGCCUUGGUCAUGGUGUCUGUUCACAGCAGCAAACCCUAAGAUUGUAAUACAUCGGUUAGUCAGUGAUUCUCUGCCUUCUGGAGUGACAUCAUAAGCAAGUGGUUGGAGAGAUGACUCAGUUGGUAAUUUGACCCCUAACACCCAUAAAAAAAUCUAGCUGUAGUGAAACACACCUGUGAUUCCAGCACUGGGGAGGCCGAUGUAGUAAGAUUCCUGGACUUGUUUUUGGCAACUCUCUCACUCUUGUUCAUUUUUUAAGUAAUACCAGUUACUUGACAGAAUCAAAGAGAUGGAACAAGGAAUCCAAAGUAUAAAGAGAAAUUAUCUGUAUUAGUAUAAAGCAUCCCCACAUAUCCAGUUUUGUUUUUCUUAGUUCUAGUUACCCAUCAUCAACCAUGAUCCAAAACUAUUAAAUGGAAAAUUCCAGAAAAAACUCACUGUGCUGGCAAGUGUUAAUCAUUUGGAGAAAGAAGCUCUCAACUGGGAAAAUGCCUCCUUAAGAUUUGCCUGUAUAAUGACAGAUGUAGAAAGGUUCAGCACAUUGUUGAUGAUGCCAUUCCUGGCUGGUGGACCUAAGGGUUAUGGGAAAGCUAUGAGGAGCAUAGAGAAGCUUCGUUCCAGAGGCUGCCAAGGUUGUACUUCAACAUUUUCCCAGGUGGUACUGGUUUUUAAGUCAUGAAGGGGUCCUGAAGAGAAGCUGAGGCACAGAACUGUGUAUCAAGGCUAGAGUUCCUGAAGAGAGGCCAGCAGAGGCCAUUCAGGAAGGCUUAUCUCUAGUUACAGUUGAAGUCAGGACUGAAGGGAUCGUGAAUGUCUAGACAUUGAGUCUUGAUACCUUGAAGACAAACCAAGAAAGGCUGUUGGUGAAAGUUCAGCCCAGUUGCAGCAGAAGACCCUAGCAUUUUUGAGAUGCCAGAACCAUGAAAAAAUUGUCAAGAACAGCAACAGCUGUGGAGUAGAACAAGCCUGAGCCCAGGGGACAAGCUGAAUGUGCUAUGGGGACCUUUGGAGCCUAGACGAUCAUGAGUCCUAGAAAUCUGAGACUGGCCUUUAUAGUGUUGUGUUUUGGUUUUCCUUUGAUAUGAUUGUGACUGUUCCCUGGACAUUCCCUCUUGGAUAUGAAAGUAUGUGACUUAUUUUUGUAUUUUACAGGAACCCACAGUUAAGAGAUUUUGGACUUUUACAAGGAUUUUGAAAUUUUAAGACCCUGUGAGAGAGAGAGACCCACCCGCCUGGUCAGGUGGGUACUCCUGAGGCUGCAGAGCGGAAGAGACCACCAACACUGCUCACCCCUGCCCACAUCCCUGGCCCAAGAGGAAACUGUAUAAGGCCUCUGGGCUCCCGUGGGGGAGGGCCCAGGAGCGGCAGGACCCCUGCCUGAGACACCACCAGAAUCUGAAGGAAACAGACCGGAUAAACAGUUCUCUGCACCCAAAUCCCGUGGGAGGGAGAGCUGAACCUUCAGAGAGGCAGACAAGCCUGGGAAACCAGAAGAGACUGCUCUCUGCACACACAUCUCGGACGCCAGAGGAAAAAGCCAAAGACCAUCUGGAACCCUGGUGCACUGAAGCUCCCGGAAGGGGCGGCACAGGUCUUCCUGGUUGCUGCCUCUGCAGAGAGCCCGUGGGCAGCACCCCACGAGCGAACUUGAGCCCCGGGAAACACAGGUAAGACCAACUUUUCUGCUGCAAGAAAGCUGCCUGGUGAACUCAAGACACAGGCCCACAGGAACAGCUGAAGACCUGUAGAGAGGAAAAACUACACGCCGGAAAGCAGAACACUCUGUCCCCAUAACUGACUGAAAGAGAGGAAAACAGGUCUACAGCACUCCUGACACACAGGCUUAUAGGACAGUCUAGCCACUGUCAGAAAUAGCAGAACAAAGUAACACUAGAGAUAAUCUGAUGGCGAGAGGCAAGCGCAGGAACCCAAGCAACAGAAACCAAGACUACAUGGCACCAUCGGAGCCCAAUUCUCCCAUCAAAACAAACAUGGAAUAUCCAAACACACCAGAAAAGCAAGAUCUAGUUUCAAAAUCAUAUUUGAUCAUGAUGCUGGAGGACUUCAAGAAAGACGUGAAGAACUCCCUUAGAGAACAAGUGGAAGCCUACAGAGAGGAAUCGCAAAAAUGCCUGAAAGAAUCGCAAAAAUCCCUGAAAGAAUUCCAGGAAAACAUAAAUAAACAAGUAGAAGCCCAUAGAGAGGAGACACAAAAAUCCCUGAAAGAAUUCCAGGAAAACAUAAAUAAACAAGUCGAAGCCCAUAGAGAGGAGACACAAAAAUCCCUGAAAGAAUUCCAGGAAAACACAAUCAAACAGUUGAAGGAAUUAAAAAUGGAAAUAGAAGCAAUCAAGAAAGAACACAUGGAAACAACCCUGGAUAAAAGAAAACCAAAAGAAGAGACAAGGAGCUGUAGAUACAAGCUUCACCAACAGAAUACAAGAGAUAGAAGAGAGAAUCUCAGGAGCAGAAGAUUCCAUAGAAAUCAUUGACUCAACUGUCAAAGAUAAUGUAAAGCGGAAAAAGCUACUGGUCCAAAACAUACAGGAAAUCCAGGAGUCAAUGAGAAGAUCAAACCUAAGGAUAAUAGGUAUAGAAGAGAGUGAAGACUCCCAGCUCAAAGGACCAGUAAAUAUCUUCAACAAAAUCAUAGAAGAAAACUUCCCUAACCUAAAAAAAGAGAUACCCAUAGACAUACAAGAAGCCUACAGAACUCCAAAUAGAUUGGACCAGAAAAGAAACACCUCCCGUCACAUAAUUGUCAAAACACCAAACGCACAAAAUAAAGAAAGAAUAUUAAAAGCAGUAAGGGAAAAAGGUCAAGUAACAUAUAAAGGCAGACCUAUCAGAAUCACACCAGACUUCUCGCCAGAAACUAUGAAGGCCAGAAGAUCCUGGACUGAUGUCAUACAGACCCUAAGAGAACACAAAUGCCAGCCCAGGUUACUGUAUCCAGCAAAACUCUCAAUUAACAUUGAUGGAGAAACCAAGAUAUUCCAUGACAAAACCAAAUUUACACAAUAUCUUUCUACAAAUCCAGCACUACAAAGGAUAAUAAAUGGUAAAGCCCAAAAUAAGGAGGCAAGCUAUACCCUAGAAAAAGCAAGAAACUAAUCGUCUUGGCAACAAAACAAAGAGAAUGAAAGCACACAAACAUAACCUCACAUCCAAAUAUGAAUAUAAUGGGAAGCAAUAAUCACUAUUCCUUAAUAUCUCUCAAUAUCAAUGGCCUCAACUCCCCAAUAAAAAGACAUAGAUUAACAAACUGGAUACGCAACGAGGACCCUGCAUUCUGCUGCCUACAGGAAACACACCUCAGAGACAAAGACAGAC